AGGGGUGACAUGUUAUUAGCUACAGGAAUGUAUUCGCUAACUAGCUCGCUUGUUUGUUUCAUCUAACGUUAAACAUAUCAGAUGUGGACACAAAAAGAUAUGAGAUUACCACAUUUAUCGUCGUUUGAACGGCAAGUAGCCUCAAAUUUAGCAAGCUCACUUGCUAGCGCACUCAGAUAGUUUAGCAAUUUAUCCAGCUAUGAUGCUAGCUAAUCAUAAUAAUACAUAUUUAUAGCUAGCUAGCUAAUUGUAGUAGUUUCCAUCUCACUUUCAGACUGUCUGAGUGUUAACAACAUGACGCUGAAAAAAGAACUUGGCAGCAAGUGGAGGUCCUGGCUCAUGUGUAGAACAUCAAACAGAGUGUGUUGUCUGCUUUAAGACCUGGCAGCUCAGUAUCUGAUGUAUAAAGAGGAAUGUGAUGCUUGCACGCUGCUCAUUGUCAACAUCAGCAGCAUGAGCUAUGGACCAGACGAGGAACCAGAGGAAGAGCUGGAAGAAGUGGAAAUCUAGGACCCAGUUAAAGAGAAAAUGGCUCUGAAGGUGUGUCGAGAGGACCUGACUAAAGCCGAGGUGGAGCUAAAUCGAUUGCAUGCUGAGUAUGGAGACGUAGUGCCCCUCCGUGACUGGGAGACGCUGGACCAUACCCACAAAGAGAACUUGCUCAAGAUACAACGUGCUGGGAGGUAGUGAGCGUUGGGCAGAGCUCUCCCAGGACCAAUCCAGCAAGCGACGUCUGGAUAUCCUGCUAGCAGAACAUGUAGGAAAGAUCUCAGAGUCUUUCACUGGACUGGGUACUUCUGAUGCUGUGCCCAUAUACCUGCGCUAUGAGGGACAGUUGAAGAACCAUAGGCUAAAGAAGGCUGAUAUGAGAAACAUCAAGGAUGUUUGGAAGGAGAAGGUAAUUGAGGACGACAUGGUGGAUGAGAGUAUACAAUGGUCAGACAUUUACUGUCUAACCUUCUGAAGAUGUUGAUCCAAAGUGACAGUACAGAGAGUGGGAUGCUCAGUGUUCAGGAUUUCAGAGUUGCCUUGCAAAUGGCCCCUCUGAAAAUAGAGCAAGACAUCAAUUAGCUAGUGACUACAGCUCAGGCCGAGCUAAAUGACAAUGGUGGGAGCCUCCCAUACCAAAGACUAUACAGAGAGGUGACUGUGGCUUCCUUCAAGAACAUUGACCCAUCUCUGGACUCUACCAAGCUGGACUGGAACCUAGCAAAUUGGCAGGCUAGCAAAUUGAUCACUGGUGCAGUAUACCAUUAUAGAACUGUGCCAUCUUGUGGAUGUCCCCAUGUAAAACCCUGUGUAAUGUUGAACCAUGCCCUUUCUACCCAUCCUUGUAAUUUACACAGCAAAUGUAGUUCACCUUCAUCAAAGUGGGCUGAAUAAGAGGUACCAUAUUUUUGUCUGCCGAGGGUUUUGUGUGUUUAAAAAAAGUGUGUGUGUGUGAAAAACUAAAACCUACCAGCUGUAUAGAUUGAAGAACUUCAUUUCCCGCAUGGCAUUAGGACAGAUUAUUGUCCUGAGCAUGCGCCAUAAACUGGUGUAAUCGCCAUAACUGGGAGCCGACGGCCGUGCUGUGAAUGGGUUAGAGAUGGUAGGAGGUAGUGAUGGAGAGGAAAGGGAAGCAAGUAUGGAACAUAGCGGUACAAAUAAAGGAGGGAGUAAGAAAGAGAAAAAGAAAGCUGGCGAGAAAGGGAGUAGGGGUAUGAAGGGGAGCGAGAUUUCUAUGGAGGUAGAGAGGAGGCAGAAAAGGAAGUUUGAGGAGAGCAACCUAGAUCCCAACGAUAGUGGAAGUUCGGAGGCAGAAAGUGCAGAGGAAGGGCAAGAUAAGACACGAGAGGAACAUGGAGGUGAGGAGGAGCAUAAAGUGAUUAUGAAGUUUAGGGAGGAAGGGGGAGUUGGGGCGAUGAGUCCGAUAAGGUUGACGGCUGUGAUAAAAUAGUUGAUUGGGGAAGUUGUUAAUGCUAAAGUGUUAAGAGAUGGGAGCUUGUUGGUGUUCUGUAAGGACAUGGCGCAGGGGGAAAAAGCUAUCGGAGUGAAGCAAAUAGGGAAGUGUAAGGUGGUGUCGAGCAGCUGGUCUGACCAAGCAGGGAAGCAGUGGAGUAAAGGGGUGAUAACAGGAGUGCCUGUGAGCGUUAGCACUAAAGAGAUAAGGGAAAAUUUGAGAGGAGGCGUUCUAGUGAAUGCACAAAGAUUGCAAGCAAUAAGGGGUGGAGAUAGGGUAGAUAGCACGUCUAUUCUGUUAACUUUUAAGGACCGGGUACUGCCAAAUAAGGUAACAAAAGGGUAUAUGAGUUACUAUGUGAGGGCUUAUGUACCGAAACCUUUAAGAUGUUAUAAAUGCCAGAGGUUUGGGCAUGUGGCAACAGUCUGUAAAGAGAAAAAGAGGUGUGCCAGGUGUGGAGGGGAGCAUGAGUAUGGGAAGUGUGGAGAAGGUGUACAACCAAAGUGCUGCAACUGUGGGGGUGCUCAUAGUGUGGCAUAUAGUGGGUGUGAGGCUAUGAAGAAGACAGUGGAGGUGCAACAAGUGAGAGUGGAGAGAAGGGUAUCAUAUGCUGAGGCAGUGAGGGUGGUCCAGGAGAGAACGGUGUCAUAUGCUGAGGCAGUGAGGGUGGUCCAGGUCCAGGGAGAUACAGGUUCAAGGGAGAGAAGGGUAGGAGCAUCUAGACUGGGUGAUGGGGCAGGUGGGCAGCGAUAUGGUAUACAUAGAAAAGAGAAAGCUGGUGACGUUCAUAGCAGGAGCUAUCAAUAGCACCGAUAAAGUAGAGUCUAAAACGGAGAGGAUUAAACUAAUAGUGAAAGCUGCUGGGAGACAUUUGAGUAUGACAGGGUUGACAUGGAUGGAAAUGGACAAGUGAGUAGCCACAGGGAAAGAGUCUGCCUUGGACCUCACUCUGGUAUCUAGUGCGAUGGCAGGAAUAUGUGAGUGGGAGGUAUGGGAGGAGUCGACAGUAGGGAGUGAUCAUUACCCCAUUCUAUGCACAGUAGGCCGAAGGGAGGAGGAGGUGUUAGUGGAGUGAGUAGGCAGGUGGGUGUUUGGAAGGGCAAAGUGGGAUCAAUUUCAGGAGCUGAGUGAGCAGGUGGUGGCUUGGGUGGAUAUGA